rnacentral:miRNA from 1 species
GCUUGUUAUCAGGUGUGGUGCCUGUGAUGCACACACCUGUAAUCUCAGCACUUGGGAGGCUGAGGCAGGAGGAU